AUUCCGGCCGACCUCGGAGCGCUCCUUGGAAUCCUGACGCUGGCCUAUCGGACCCCGAAGCGAGAGACCGCCAGCUCUCCGGGCGCUAGUUGCAGCCUUACUGUUUGUUCUGCGUUUUUUGCGGUGGCCUGUGGCAGGCCUUCAGAUGAAAAUGUAGAACUCUCGGCUCCUCCUGCACCAUGCCUACCUGGAUGCUGUCAUGCUCCUGCCUUGAUGAUAAUGGACUGAACCUCUGAACCUUAAGCCAGCCCCAGUUAAAUGUUGUCCUUAUGAGUUGCCUUGGUCAUGGUGUCUGCUCACAGCAGUAAAACCCUGACUAAGACUCACCCACCAUACAUAUAAAUAAAAAAGCCAGUGUGCUGGCUUUUCUCAACUGAGGUUCACUCUUCUCUCAUGACUCUAGCUUGUGCCAAUUUGAUAUAAAACUAGCCAGGACACAGGCUGAGCAAAUCAUGGGGAGCCAGCCAUUCCUUAAGGCCUCUGCAUCUGCUCCUGCCUCCAGGUUCCAGACCUUCUUGAGUUCCUGUUCUGACUUCCUCCAGUGAUGUACAGUGACGUGGAAGUGUAAGCCAAAUAAACCCUUUCCUCCCC